UACGAGUGCCUCGAACGUUAUUCGGAAUCACUGGGCUUAAAGGGUGCGUAGGCGGCGCGACAAGUUGGGUGUGAAAUCCCUCGGCUCAAUCGAGGAACUGCGCCCAAAACUGUCGUGCUCGAGGGAGACAGAGGUGAGCGGAACUUAGGGUGGAGCGGUGAAAUGCGUUGAUAUCCUAAGGAACACCGGUGGCGAAAGCGGCUCACUGGGUCUCUUCUGACGCUGAGGCACGAAAGCUAGGGUAGCGAACGGG
rnacentral:rRNA from 1 species